rnacentral:lncRNA from 1 species
ACCUCGCGGGAACCCGGGACCUACCGCUUCGUCCACCUCCCGCGCGCCCCAGGCCCCGGGUUGGGGUGCAGGGGGCGCAGGGGUUGGUCGGGCCAGCGCCGCAGCUCCGGCCCCGGAGUCUCUCCGCCUUCACAAGGAAGCGGAGGGGAUCUGGCUCCGUCCAUUUCCUCAUCCUCUGCGUACCUGCGGACCAGGAAACUCCUGGAUCGAGGCUGGCAUCUUUCCGGCCCAAGCAGGCUCAGCCCAUGGAGAUCUCACAGUGGCAACAUCCUAGGUCCCAGCCUGCGCCGCACCCUCCCCAGGGUUCUAGGCCCUGAUUCUGACCACAUGUCCCCACCUGGAUGCGGCCUGGGCACUCCUGCACCUGCCUGUGGGGUUUGGGCCACCAGCCUGUGUGGCCUUCUCCAUCACCUGCAGCUGCUCCUCUCGGCCAGACAGGACUUUCUUCUGCUGCUGCACGGAGGAGCUUUCCCCAGCACCUGGGCCAGGUGAGCUUCCAGGUCCCAGCCAUCCCGCCACCUGGCAAUACCUGGCCGAGCUUGGAGAUUAGGGGCUGAAAUAUCUUCUAUUAAAAAUAGAACAGGGGGUCGGGUGCGGUGGCUCACCAGCGCUUUGGGAGGCCCAGGUGGGUGGAUCACCCGAGGUCAGGAGUUUGUGACCAGCCCAGCCAACAUGGUGAAACCCCGUCUACUAAAAAUACAAAAAUUAGGCUGGGCGCGGUGGCUCACGCCUGUAAUCCCAGCACAUUGUGGGGCUGAGGCAGGUGGCCUGGGCGACUGAGCGAGACUCCAUCUAAAAGAAGAAAGAAAAACAAAACACGAGGCCGGGUGCGAUGGCUCACGCCUGUAAUCCCAGCACUUCGGGAGGCCGAGGCCGGCAGAUCAUGAGGUCAGGAGAUCAAGACCAUCCUGGCUAACACAGUGAAACCCUGUCUCUACUAAAAAUAUAAAAAAAAAAAAAUUAUCCGGGUGUAGUGGCGGGCGCCUGUAGUCCCAGCUACUGGGGAGGCUGAGGCAGGAGAAUGGUGUGAACCCGGGAGGCGGAGCUUGCAGUGAGCCGAGACGGCACCACUGCACUCCAGCCUGGGCGACAGGGCGAGACCCCGUCUCAAAAAAAAAAAAAAAGAAAAAAAAUACGAAAGAAACUUAGUGCCACUGAAAUGCAGUGGAGUGGGUUUACAGAAAAUGUGAGAGUGAGGAGGGCUGUUGGGAUAAGGGAAGGGUCUUUAGGUGAGCUUCCUCUUGCUGCUCCGGGUGGAGCUGGGGCGGGGUUCUUCAUUAACUCACAGACAUUUCCCUGGAGCCCCUGAGCUCUAGUGCCAACCUCGUGCCUCUGGGGUCCCUGCUUUCUGUUUUGCAGAUUGUUUAAUCAUCGUCAUUAGCGAGUAUUUACCAUGCACUUCCCACGUGCUAGUCCCUGAGCCAGGGCCAGGGAACCCAGGGAGGGCACGGGGGGACACGAGGGCCGGCUGGGGACAUAGGGCGAGGCCGGCCGGACCCCAGGUUGCUGUGAUGCUGUGACUGUGUAUGGGCACCCCCUUUCCCUGGGCUGGAAGGGAUGCCUGGUGGAGGCGUCUGCUCUGCGGGCACCCACAGGACCCCCCUUUGCCUACAGCCGCCCCCGGUGGUUGGGUGGGAGGUUGCAUGCUAGCAUCCUCUUGCUGGUCCGGGGUCAUGAUACUGGUAGAGCCACCUGGUCCCCUCUCCUGGGUUGGUGUCAGAGCUUCACCCUCGGAAGGGAUCAUCCUGUGCCUGUCUCCUGAGGCUCCCGUAACAAAUGACAACACGCCGGGGUGAAAGCAACAGAGAUGCGUCCCCUACUAGCUGUGGAGGCCACACAUCUGAGGUCAUGGUGUCAUUCACCGUGCUCCCUCUGGAGGCUGCAGGGAGGACCCUUCCUGCUUUCUCCAGCUUCCAGGGGCUCCAGUUGUCCUUGGUCUGUGACUGUGUCGCUCCAGCACAUUUUUUUUUUCUUGAUACAGUGUCUUGCUCUCUUCCCAGGCUGGAGUGCAGUGGUGUGAUCACAGCUCACUAUAGCCUCAGCCUCCCGGGCUCAAGAGAUCCUCCGGCCUCAGCCUCCCAAGUAGCUGGGACUACAGGUGUGCGCCACCAUGCCUGGCUAUUUUUACUGUUAUUAUUAUUAUUAUUAUUCUUUUGAGAUGGAGUCUCACUCUGUUGCCCAGGCUGGAGUGCAGUGGCACCAUCUCAGCUCACUGCAAGCCCCACCUCCUGGGUUCACGCCAUUCUCCUCUCUCAGCUUCCCGAGUAGCUGGUACUACAGGCGCCCACCACCACACGUGGCUAAUUUUUUUGUAUUUUUACUAGAGACGGGGUUUCACCAUGUGUUAGCCAAGAUGGGCACAAUCUUCUGACCUCGUGAUCUGCCGGCCUCGGCCUCCCAAAGUGCUGGGAUUAUAGGCAUGAGUAUUAUUAUUAUUUUUUGAGACAGAGUCUCACUCUGUCACCCAGGCUGGAAUGCAGUGGCACAAGCUUGGCUCACUGCAACCUCUGCCUUCCGGGUUCAAGCAAUUCUGCCUCAGCCUCCCAAGUAGUUGGGAUUACAGGCUCCUGCCACCACGCCUGGCUAAUUUUUGUAUUUUCAGUAGAAAUGGGGUUUCACCAUGUUAGCCAGGAUGGUCUUGAUCUCCUGACCUCAUGAUUUGCCCACCUCAGCCUUCCAAAGUGCGGGGAUUACAGGCGUGAGCCACUGCACCCGGCCUUUAUUAUUAUUUUUUUUUGAGACGGAGUUUCGCUCUUGUUGCCCAGACUGGAGUACAGUGGCAGGAUCUUGGCUCACUGCAGCCUCUGCCUGCAGGAUUCAAGCGAUUCUCCUGCCUCAGCCUCCUGAGCAGCUGGUACUACAGGAGUCCAUCACCAGGCCUAGCUAAUUUUUAUAUUUUUAUUAAAGACGGGGCUGGGCGCGUUGGCUCACACCUGUAAUCCCAGCACUUUGGGAGGCCGAGGCCGGCGGAUCACAAGGUCAGGAGAUCGAGACCAUCCUGGCUAACGCGGUGAAACCCCGUCUCUACUGAAAAUAGAAAAAAUUAGCUGGGCGUGGUGGCGGGUGCCUGUAGUCCCAGCUACUCAGGAGGCUGAGGCAGGAGAAUGGCGUGAACCUGGGAGGUGGAGCUUGCAAUGAGCUGAGAUCGCACCACUGCACUGCAGCCUGGGCAACAGAGUGAGACUCUGUCUCAAAAAAAAAAAAAGACAGGGUUUCACCAUGUUGGCCAGGCUGGUCUCGAACUCCUGGGCUCAAGUGAUCCUUCCACCUCGGCCCCCCAGUGCUGGGAUUACAGCGUGAGCCACUGGGCCUGGCCUGGUUGUAUCUUUUGGGAGGCUGCCCUUCAGCCACCACAGCCCUCAUUUCAGGUUCUUGUGGGACCCUCGACAAAGAGAUGCUUUCCACCUCCUAACCGG